UGAGCCAGGUUUUUGAAGGAAGUGCGAGU
rnacentral:piRNA from 1 species